CUGGGGUGUCUUGGUAUGACUGAAGUAACAGGGAGAAGUUCUUGUUGCAGUGGAAAGGGGCCAUUGUGUUUUCCCCCUUUCUCCCCCUCCAGGUACCUAGGCCCUAUAUUCUU